UAGAAGAUUAAAAACCAAAAA
rnacentral:sRNA from 1 species